rnacentral:rRNA from 1 species
ACUCCGGUUGAUCCUGCCGGACCCGACUGCUAUUAGGGUGAGACUAAGCCAUGCGAGUCUGCACCCUGGGCCAUGACAGGGUGCGGCGUACGGCUCAGUAAUACACGGCCAACCUACCCUUAGGAUGCGGAUAACCGCGGGAAAGGUGAAUCGCAACUUAAAAACCAUAACUAUAACAUUGCAUUAAACAUAUGGCAGCAAAUCGUUGAAAAUCUUUUUACCAUGAUUAGCCAGAAAGCCCAUGUCUUUUAAGGGUGAGAUGAAUGGUAUUAAACUUAAAUAGAUGCUUAAGCUCAAGCCUUUCUUAAGCGUGCUACUCGAAUGUGGUUCAGAUGUUUAAACCUGAAUAAGGCUCCAGACCAAGAUGGAUGUAAGGGCUUAAUAACGAUUCACCCCCGAAACUGCGGAUAACCCGCAAUAGGAGAGGAGGCCUGGAAUGGUCCCUCUCUGAAAAGACUUCAGAGUCAUGCUCUCUGAAGUCGCCUAAGGAUGGGGUCGUGUCCGAUCAGGUAGUUGGUGGGGUAACGGCCCACCAAGCCUAAGACCGGUAUGGGCCGUGAGAGCGGGAGCCCAGAGAUGGACCCUGAGACAAGGGUCCAGGCCCUACGGGGCGCAGCAGGCGCGAAAACUCCGCUAUGCGCGUAAGCGCGACGGGGUCACCCUAAGUGCCGCUCGCUGAGAGCGGCUUUUCCCCAGUCUAAACAGCUGGGGGAAUAAGGGGAGGGCAAGUCUGGUGUCAGCCGCCGCGGUAAUACCAGCUCCCCGAGUGGUCGGGACGAUUAUUGGGCCUAAAGCGUCCGUAGCCGGUCUAGUAAGUCCUCUGUUAAAUCCAGCGAUCUAAUCGCUGGACCGCAGGGGAUACUGCUAGACUAGGGGGCGGAAGAGGCUGGCGGUAUUCCCGAGGGAGGGGCGAAAUCCUGAGAUCUCGGGAGGACCACCAGUGGCGAAGGCGGCCAGCUGGGACGCGCCCGACGGUGAGGGACGAAAGCCGGGGGAGCGAACCGGAUUAGAUACCCGGUUAGUCCCGGCUGUAAACGAUGCGGGCUAGGUGUCAGGUCAACUACGAGUUGACUUGGUGCCGAAUGGAAGCAAAUAAGCCCGCCGCCUGGGGAGUACGGCCGCAAGGCUGAAACUUAAAGGAAUUGGCGGGGGAGCACACAAGGGGUGGAUGCUGCGGUUUAAUUGGAGUCAACCCCGGGAACCUUACCAGGGGAGACAGCAGGAUGAAGGCCAGAUUGAAGGUCUUGCCGGACGAGCUGAGAGGAGGUGCAUGGCCGUCGCCAGCUCGUGCCGUGAGGUGUCCUGUUAAGUCAGGCAACGAGCGAGACCCCUGUCCCUAGUUGCUAUCAGAACUCAGAAGGGUUCUGAGCACUCUAGGGAGACUGCCGUCGAUAAGGUGGAGGAAGGAGGGGGCUACGGCAGGUCAGUAUGCCCCGAAUCCCCUGGGCCACACGCGGCAUACAAUGGCAGGGACAAUGGGUUGCCACCCCGAAAGGGGGAGCCAAUCCCUAAACCCUGCCUCAGUUGGGAUCGAGGGUUGCAACUCUCCCUCGUGAACCCGGAAUCCCUAGUAAUCGCGCGUCACCAACGCGCGGUGAAUACGUCCCUGCUCCUUGCACACACCGCCCGUCGCUCCCCCCAAGUUGGGCCUAGAUGAGGUAUAGUCUCUUAUGGCUAUGUCGAAUCUAGGCUCGACGAGGGAGGAGAAGGCGUAACAAGGUGGCCGUACGGGAACGUGCGGCCGGAUCACCUCCU